rnacentral:rRNA from 1 species
UACGUAGGGUGCGAGCGUUAAUCGGAAUUACUGGGCGUAAAGCGUGCGCAGGCGGUUUUGCAAGCCGGAUGUGAAAUCCCCGGGCUCAACCUGGGAAUGGCAUUCGGGACUGCAAGGCUGGAGUGCGGCAGAGGAGACUGGAAUUCCUGGUGUAGCAGUGAAAUGCGUAGAUAUCAGGAGGAAUACCGAUGGCGAAGGCAGGUCUCUGGGACUGACACUGACGCUCAUGCACGAAAGCGUGGGGAGCAAACAGG